CUUUGAAAAUUAAUACAGCAUUUUUGAAAAGUGGAACAUGAAAAAGUAGAGAAAAAUAGAAGCAGAGAUGAAUGGAAAUAUACUCGUAGAAGAUUGUCCAAUAACCACAGUGGCCUCAAUUCUUGGGUCCAGCCAAGCUGUGGGGAGUGCAGGACCCAAAGGAAAAACGAAGAGUCUCUGCUUCACAGGAUAGUGUUUCCCAUCCUACUAGUAUGUGCAACAAACAGAAGAAAAUUCAAUUAAUAUUGAUCUGAAGAAGGCUCGUACACAAAGCUAUUAAAACAC